rnacentral:rRNA from 1 species
CAAUAGCGUAUAUUAAAGUUGUUGCAGUUAAAAAGCUCGUAGUUGGAUUUCGGGACGGGCCAGUUGGUCCGCCGCAAGGUGUGUUACUGACUGGUCUGUUCUUCUUCGCAAAGACUGCGUGUGCUCUUCGUUGAGUGUGCGUAGGAUUUACGACGUUUACUUUGAAAAAAUUAGAGUGUUCAAAGCAGGCUAUCGCCUGAAUACAUGAGCAUGGAAUAAUGGAAUAGGACUUUGGUCCUAUUUUGUUGGUUUCUAGGACCGAAGUAAUGAUUAAGAGGGACAAUUGGGGGCAUCCGUAUUUCGUUGUCAGAGGUGAAAUUCUUGGAUUUACGAAAGACGAACAACUGCGAAAGCACUUGCCAAGAGUGUUUUCAUUAA